GCAACUGGAGACCUGCAGGCACCUAAAGGCAAGAGAUCAAGGAAGAGGAACACGAUAAAAUGCUUAUGGCUUCAAGAAGAAAUAGGAGACGUGUAACCAAUAAAAGUAUGAUGAAUUCUGCUGCCUCUGCAGAAUACAAUCAGGACGUUAAGAGAGGACAGUGAAUCAGGAAAUGAAAUACAAGGGAGGCAUUUGGAACUUUUCCAGUUUCGUUAUAUUAUGAAGCAAGG